GACGAACGCUGGCGGCGUGCUUAACACAUGCAAGUCGAACGGAAAGGCCCUGCUUUUGUGGGGUGCUCGAGUGGCGAACGGGUGAGUAACACGUGAGUAACCUGCCCUUGACUUUGGGAUAACUUCAGGAAACUGGGGCUAAUACCGGAUAGGAGCUCCUGCUGCAUGGUGGGGGUUGGAAAGUUUCGGCGGUUGGGGAUGGACUCGCGGCUUAUCAGCUUGUUGGUGGGGUAGUGGCUUACCAAGGCUUUGACGGGUAGCCGGCCUGAGAGGGUGACCGGCCACAUUGGGACUGAGGUACGGCCCAGACUCCUACGGGAGGCAGCAGUGGGGAAUAUAGCACAAUGGGCGGAAGCCGGAUGCAGCAACGCCGCGUGCGGGAGGACGGCCUUCGGGUUGUAAACCGCUUUCGCCUGUGACGAAGCGUGAGUGACGGUAAUGGGUAAAGAAGCACCGGCUAACUACGU
rnacentral:rRNA from 1 species